rnacentral:rRNA from 1 species
UACGUAGGGACCAAGCGUUGUUCGGAUUUACUGGGCGUAAAGGGCGCGUAGGCGGCCACGACAAGUCAGUUGUGAAAUCUCUGGGCUUAACUCAGAGCGGUCAACUGAUACUGUCGGGCUAGAGUGCAGAAGGGGCAACUGGAAUUCCCGGUGUAGCGGUGAAAUGCGUAGAUAUCGGGAGGAACAUCAGUGGCGAAGGCGGCCUUCUGGUCCAGUACUGACACUCAAGUGCGAAAGCGUGGGGAGCAAACAGG